GUAUCAAGUGCCAGUGAAGUUUUGUUUAUUCCCCUGCCCUACCAUUUGCAGAGGGGAUUUUCAUUUUCCUGAGAUGAACUCCACUGCUGGCCGUCCAACCUGAUGGAGUGGAAGAACUGCAGAACAAACUGCUGCCAUCAGCUAAUUCACCUGAACAGAGCAGUGUGUGAGACCUACCUUGUCCCGUGAGUGUCCUGUCAUUCACAGCAGCUGAACGAGUAUUUUCAAGAUGGCAAGUGAGCUGAUGGGAGGAAUUACCUGAAAGACCCCAAACAUUUUAUGCAAACACCUGUGCUGUUCUUAGUCAUGCGAGUUUGCUGGAACUUGCCUCACAUCUUCUUUCCUGUUCAGCAGUUCUUUCAAGCUGCUCUGAAUCAUUUCCUAAAUCCAUGUCACAUGAAAAGCCUGAAAAGGUAUCUUCAGUUUCUCAGAAUCAGGCUUCUGCUGUUUACUGGUGAGCAUCCCUGGCAGGUUUGUUUCAUUUGGAAGUAAUCAUGGAAUUAAUUAGCAUUUAGUAUCAAGGUUGACUUUCUUGUAAAAUUAUGUAAAACCCUUGAGGCCUACCUGUUUGUUACACUGUUUACGGCUGCCAGGAUGCUUUUUUCCAUCAAAAAAUGCAGCUUGAUCACGAACAUAGCACCACUAAGCGAUGCCUUUGUUCACUAUAUGUAUUGUUUGGUAUCUUGCUUCUAGAAGAGCGUGCCACAUAAAAAAGGAAAGGGAAGGUGAAGGAGGUGGAGCAAGGGGUAAAGGAAUCCAUCAGAAUAGCAGAGUGGUCAGGAGCUGUGUCGUGACCUCGCAUGUACAAAACACGAAGCUUAACUCUGCAGCUCCAUAGCUGGGAACAAAAGCUCAAAGGCUUCAAGCAGAUGUCGGGAGUAGAGGCAGAGCAGCCCUCUGGAGCCAGAGCCUCUGUAAAGCUGUGUCUGUGCCUCUCCAACGACUUUGUGUAAGGAAAAAAAAAACCAAACAAACGGUUAUUGUCAUGAUUUGGUCCUCAUCUUGCAUGGAUCCUGAGGGAUUAGGAUGGCAUUGUGGGAUGGGCAUUCAGACCCUUUUGUUGCCUCUUCUGCAGCAUGAUGUGAGAUAAUGUGACUCUGCAAAAAGAGCCAACUAAGACCUUUUUUCUCCUCACCCCACUUCCAUGUAUUUAGUCGUAUAGAUUAAACUUGGCAAGCUGACCGCCGGUAUUUAAUGCAUGAAUUGAGAAACAAGAAGUACUGAAUAUAUUAAUCUCUUAAGUGUUGUGACCUAGUUGCCAUCUGCUUUCAUUAAUUACUGUUUUAAUUGUUUGUCGGGAUUAAUUUUCCUUCAUUAAAAGUAGCAUUUCAUACUCUCAGUGUAUUUCUGCUCACUCAUAUGACUGAUUAGUACAAAAUGUAAAUUGAGUACAAAAUAUGCAAGAACGAACAAACUUUUUUAAAGCAGAAUAUUACAUAUUAAUUGCUCUUCUGGUUGAGGGAGAGGUCUGUUCAUGUAAUCAGUCCAAGUUAGUGCUGAGAAAUACAUGAAAUCUAAGAAAAAUCAAGAGAAGUCUGUUAAAAUCAUGUUUCUCAUGAAGAUAUGACUGUGGAUAUCAAGUGGCUCUAAGGGCAUAAUUUUUCUGAAGUUGCAGGGGUUUUCGCCUCCUACCAAGUGCACUUACUCAUCUCGGCGAAUAUUUGUACAAAUGGCUCAAACAGCAUGGGAACUCUUAUAGUAAACAAUUAUAUGCCUCCUAGGGCAAUAAUGAGUGCCUUAAAAUUAGCAGGCAGAAGGAUAAUGUUCAGCAGUAGGUCUGAGAUGCUGGCUCUGAAUUAGGUACUAAAAUUGGAACCUUACUUCACAGCUUUGAAAAGGAAGAAGCUGGGUUUGAACAAGAACUAGGCUUUUUGUUUUAACUGGCAAAAUUAACUUCCUUGAAGGAAAAGGUGUGAACUGCGCUUCAGCUAUCUUGGUUAUACAAAGAUUCUUCAGCCUGUUUUACUGAAGUAAAAUUAAUAGAAGUGUUUAAUCGUCCUGUGAAUUGGGAUUAUUAUUUUAGUAUAGUCAUAACUACAAAGGAAAAUGUUAAUCACUGAGAUUGGAUUAUGCAGUGACCUUUCAAAUCUAUGGUGUUUGCAGCUAUUAGGCUUGCUUCAAAGUAGGAGUCGGAAAGCACUUUCAGUAGUGGACCUUUUGGAAAUAGUUUAAAUGUUUCUGUCCAAAAAAUAAUGAUUGAAUUAAAGAAAUGCUACUUUCC